UGAAAGACAAAGUCGACCCUGGCUGAUUUUGCACUCGGAACAUAAAGACGGACGAAAUGCUGCUUAGCAUUUUGUCCGGAAUGCUAACGUUUCUGCCAGGUCGUGGUCUUGCUGCAUGGCUACAAGAAUGGCAUCUCAUUUACGGACUUAGAAUGUCUAAACACUGACGUUCUUCUUUUCAUUCUUUGACUUGUUGUAGUCAUUAAACUGCAGCCAUGCUGGAGCACCGCCUUGAAAGGAUUUACUUCAAAAGAUCGAUUCCAGGACUUAUUUUCUAUCCCUAGUACAUCCACCAUCGGUCGCUGUUGGCAAACUGCAAAGUUAUGCGGUUAUAAAGAACCCAAUGCCUGUUAUCAAAUAGUGGUGGGGGGUACACAAACACAAACACAAGCACAAGAAAUCUCUCUCACACACACACACACCCACACACAAACACACACACACACACGCACACGCACACGCACACACACAGAGGCAUACACACUCAUAUAUAAGACGAGUUUCUACACAGUUUCCGCCAACCAAAUUCCCUCAGCAUGAAUUAAUCAAUCGGGAGUUAUUACCGAAGACGCUUGAUCAAGAUGCCGCGCAGUGAGACUGAACCCCAAACCACGAGCUUACAAAGCAAGGUACUUAACCACACAGAUGACGCAAUGGCACAUAAACAUUAUCACUUACGUAGUUAUUAUCCUUUACAUAAUAUUUAACAGCGUUGUAUAACUAUUAUGUCACUAAAGUGUUACAAGUCAUAUAACGGGGAGCUUUGGAAGUGUACUUCUUGCUACCAUGGGUUUCAUCAGGAAAUAUGGCAUACAUAACAUUAUUAUAAUAUAUAUAUACACACAUAUAUAUAUAUAUAUAUAUAUACACACACACAUACAUAUAUAUAUAUACAUACAUACAUACAUACAUACAUACAUACUAGCGUACAUAUAUGCAUGUACACAUACGUAUAUACAUACACACAUAUAUAUACAAAUAAUUACAUAUAUAUAUACACACACACACACACACACAAUAUAUAUAUAUGUAUAUAGAUAGGCGCAGGAGUGGCUGUGUGGUAAGGAGCUUGCUUACUAACCACAUGGUUCCGGUUUCAGUCCCACUGUGUGGCAGCUUGGGCUACUAUAGCCUCGGUUCCGACGAAAGCUUUGUGAGUGGAUUUGGUUGACGGAACUGAAAGAAGUCCGUCGUUUUUGUGUGUGUAGGUAUAUAUAUAUGUAUGUAUGCAUAUAUAUAUAUACACAUGUAUGUAUAUAUAACAGUGUUGUAUAAAUAUUGUAUGUUUAUAUAUAUAUAAACUCACAUUUGUUUAGGUGUUCGCUCUCCUUGUCCUAUUCUUCCUCGUCUCUGCCACACUUUCUCUGAAUCUGUGUGAAUGUGUAGCGCUCGUUUACUCCUUGCCUGCCAUCAAGCCUUGCAUGUUCACUAACCCACCCUGUAUCCCUCUUUUACUCUUUCUCUCUCUCUCUCUCUCUCUCUCUCUCACUCUAUACGAUAUCUAAGGUCACUAGAGAAAUCAACCAAUCAACGUUUAUGUCGGUUGUUAUCAUGUAGAGAUAUCUAUUAUCAUAUUGAAUAUUGCUCUAUAAAUGUUAUCUUAUCUUUCAUCUUUUUAUUGACUGCGGUCAUGCUGGGGCACCGCCAUGAAAGGUUUUAGUCGAACAAAUCGACUCCAGGACUUAUUUUUUUAAAACCUAGUACUAAUUCUAUCGGUCUCUUUUACCGAAUCGUUAGGCCACGAGGAUAUAAACACACCGACACCGGUUGUGAAGCGGUGAUGUGGGACAAACAAUGACAGAUAGACAUACACACAUAUAUAUACGAUAGGCUUCUUUCAGUUUCCAUCUACCAAAUACACUCACACGGCUUUGGUUGACCCGCGGCUAUAGUAGGAGACAUUUGAAACCGAACUUGAAAUCCUGUGGUUGGUAAGCAAAUUUCUUACCAUAACAGCAACACCUGCGCCUCCAUAUGUAUUAUGUUUCAGAUGACAUUAAGGAAAUCCAUAAAAAUAUUAUUCGGACACAUUUAAUAUUCGCUUGAUAACGUUAAAUAAUACUAAAUAUUUAACACAUAUUCAUUAUUCUCUAGUUAAUGUUAAAUAAUACUGUAUCAAUAUUAACAUGCGUAUAUAUUUAUUACUUCGUAGGUAUCAUUUAACAAUGGCAUAAAAAUAUUAUCGGACACAUAAGUAUAUAUUAUUGCUUCAGAUAAUGCUAAAUAACAGUAUAUAAACAUUAUUAAACAUAUAUUUAUCAUUCCCCGUUUACUGUUCAAUAAUAUUAUUAUUACUGCUAUUACAUUUAUUAUUCUCCAGAUAAUGGUCAUUAAAUAUUCGUAAUUGUCUAUUUUACGAAAACAGCAUGUCAAUACAUUUAGCUAUUAGUUAGCUGUACCUCCUUACACUUUUAAGUUGCUCUCUUUUAGUUUGAUGUAUUUAUAAUAUUCAGGCUAUCUUUUAUGGGCAUCGGUUGCAUUAAGGGUGUUUGCUAUAUCAAAGGUGUUUAUACUUAAACUCCAGCAAAUUAGUGUCAAAGUACUUCUAAAGGGAAUGUUUUUUUCAUUGUGUCUUGCUGUAUUUCUCGUUGUUGUAAUCUGGUCUUCCAUUGGUUGAUAUUUUUAAAAAAUUAUAAUGGAGGCAACUAUCUUGGUAGCAAUUAAUUCAAUUUUUUUCUUCUUGUUGGUGAAAUAAACUAAAUGGAUUGGAGCGAAAUACAUCAUAGAGUCGUAAUAUCUUUAUCUUGUUAUCUUUUACCGGUUUCAUUCAUUGAACAGCGCCCAAAAUUUGGGUACCACUUUAAAGGGUUUAGUUGAACAAAUCGACCCUGCUGCUAAUUUUUUUAACCCUUACCUGGGGACGUAAACAAACUAACACCACUUGCCAAGCCUGAGAGACUAACACAAAGAGCACACUUAAACAAAGACACAAAGAGGUACACACAGACACAUACACACGCACACCAACACCUCCAUCUCCCAACACAUACAAUGGGAUUCCGUAUAGUUUUCGUCCACUAAAUCCACUCACAAGACAUUGGCCGACCCAAGGCACUUGCCAAAGGUGCCACGCAGUAGGACCGAACCCGAAUCCAUAUGGUUCCAAAGCGAGCUUCUUAACCACACAACCACGCCCGCGCCUAUGCAUUUAAUUUGACCUUUGUUCUUGUUUCAACUAUCAUAUUCUUAAUAUUCGUAGAAGUCGCUAUCUCGGUUUAGUUAGAUCUCUUCAGUACGAACGAAGUAAUGAAACGUAUUUAAUUUAUGUUACAUUAUUUAAAAAAAACGAACGGAAGAAAUUUCGUGAAAGAAAAGUAUAUUAGACCAAGCUCUGGUUCAUAUUCUUCAUAUCCCUCGGUUUACCCUGAUCCUACGGACAAAGGAUCAACCACACUCUAGCCGUGGUCAUUCUCGACUUAUUGUUUACUCGUAUAAGGUCUGCCUAGAUCCAGGAAAUCUAAGAUCGAAGGCAUUUCAGUAUUUAAUACCUCGACUUUUAUUCAGACUCUGUGGAAAAUUAACGAAGUGUCAGGUGUAUCAUAAGCUACGUAUAUAUGUAUGCAACAGGUUUUCUGAAGAUACAUGCGCGCGCGCACCCCCACAUAUAUAUUUUUAUGUGUGUGUGUGUGUAUUUUCUUUUAUUUCUUUUAUAUGUUUCAGCCCCAAAACUGAGGCCAUGCUGGGGCACUGCCAGUGUAAUCAUCUUUUCAGUGUGCGUUUUUAUGCGAUUGGCUUUUGGAGAAGGAGGGAGUUCGACACAGCUGCCCCCUUUUGAAUUACUUACCGGAUAUAUAUAUAUAUAUAUAUAUAUGUAUAUUAUGUAUGUAUAUGUUUAUGUGCGUGGGUGUGUGGGCGUGCGCGUGUGUGCACGCACGCGCGUGUAAUAGUUCUCGGUAAUAUAAUGCAAUAAAGUGUCCCCCCGAUGAUCCGUUGUGGUUAAGCAGCCAAUUGCACGUGAUGUAUCCAAUACAGACUUCCAAAUUCUACACAUAUACAUAUAUACAUAUACAUAUAUACAUAUAUACCGUUGAAAGCCUUGAAAGCUGUGAUAUUCGUUUCUUGAAAACACAUCUUUUAGACGAAAGCACAGAUACAUAAUAGCAUACGCAUUCACUCGCAAGUGCUCGCGCGCGCUUGGUAGUUAAAGACAUAACGAAACACUGGAAGAGGGGAAAAGAAAGAAAAGCAGAAGGAGAAAAAGAAAGAGAAGAAAGGAGUGCUUGGUCUCUACAGUGAUCUUAUUAUCAGGAAAAAAUCAACAUGAAACCUACCAAAAAUAAUAGUAAAUGUGCCACAAAUCACCUCCGUAGUCUUAGAAAAGAACAUGUUUUUGCAUUGUAGAAUGUGGUCCUGGCUUCCUGCACAUAAAGAAAUAUACAGAAUGGUCAGGUAUAGUAUCUUCGAUCAUAUGCUCGUUGCCACUGAUUGAGAAAUCGAUAGUCCAAAAGAAAUUGUGACUGCAACACAAAACUAAAUGUUUUCGCUCCAGGAAUUACAGAAAAAUAAAGAAGACUUUUUUAAAAAUCAUAUAAUGUAGGGGAGCAAAGGCAUCUGCCUAAUAUGGUGACUAUGUGGCAAUUGGGAAUAAAUGACACUUUUCCUCCGCUCAAAAGUCCGUCUGUAUAUGAACAGAUUUUUAUAUAUUCUUCCAGAAACCAGCGCCGGUUACAAGUAUUGGCAAGCUGAUAGUAAUUAAAAUUGGUAAGUUAGUAGUAAUAGCUAUUAAUAUCUGGUAAGUGAUUAGGCGGCGAGCUGGCAGAAUCGUUAGCAUGUCGGAGAAAUGCUUAGCAGUAUUUCGUCCGUCUUUACGCUCUGAGUUCAAAUUUCGCCGAGGUCGACUUUGCCUUUCAUUCUUUUGGAGUCGAUAAAAUAAGUACCAGUUGAUCACUAGGGUCGAUGUAAUCGAUUAAACCCCAACUCCCAGAAAUUACUGAUCGUGUGACAAAGUUUGAAAUCAAUAUUUGGUCAGUGAUUGAAGGUUUUGGGGAAUUGGUAAGCUG
rnacentral:lncRNA from 1 species